UACGAGGGGAGCUAGCGUUGUUCGGAAUUACUGGGCGUAAAGCGCGCGUAGGCGGCUUUUUAAGUCAGAGGUGAAAGCCCGGGGCUCAACCCCGGAUAGCCUUUGAAACUGGAAAGCUAGAAUCUUGGAGAGGUCAGUGGAAUUCCGAGUGUAGAGGUGAAAUUCGUAGAUAUUCGGAAGAACACCAGUGGCGAAGGCGACUGACUGGACAAGUAUUGACGCUGAGGUGCGAAAGCGUGGGGAGCAAACAGGAUUAGAAACCCCAGUAGU
rnacentral:rRNA from 1 species